CCGGGAGGACCAUCUCCCAAGGCUAAAUACUCCCUAGUGACCGAUAGUGAACCAGUACCGUGAGGGAAAGGUGAAAAGCACCCCGGAAGGGGAGUGAAAUAGAUCCUGAAACCGUGUGCCUACAAGUAGUCAGAGCCCGUUAAUGGGUGAUGGCGUGCCUUUUGUAGAAUGAACCGGCGAGUUACGAUCCCGUGCAAGGUUAAGCAGAAGAUGCGGAGCCGCAGCGAAAGCGAGUCUGAAUAGGGCGCAUGAGUACGUGGUCGUAGACCCGAAACCAGGUGAUCUACCCAUGUCCAGGGUGAAGUUCAGGUAACACUGAAUGGAGGCCCGAACCCACGCACGUUGAAAAGUGCGGGGAUGAGGUGUGGGUAGGGGUGAAAUGCCAAUCGAACCUGGAGAUAGCUGGUUCUCUCCGAA
rnacentral:rRNA from 1 species